GACGGGGGAUGCAAGCGUUAUCCGGACUCACUGGGCGUAAAGCGUCUGUCGGUGGUGAUGCAAGUCACUGGUGCAAAACUCUGGCUCAACCGGAGGAAAGCCAGUGAAACUGCAUGACUAGAGUGUGGGAGAGGUAGAAGGAAUUCCCUGAGUAGCGGUGAAAUGCGUAGAUACAGGGAAGAACACCGGAGGCGAAAGCGCUCUACUGGAACACAACUGACACUGAGAGACGAAAGCUAGGGGAGCGAAUGGG
rnacentral:rRNA from 1 species